rnacentral:rRNA from 1 species
UACAGAGGGGGCCAGCGUUAUUCGGAAUUACUGGGCGUAAAGGGCGCGUAGGCGGAUAGUUUAGUCAGAGGUGAAAGCCCAGGGCUCAACCUUGGAAUUGCCUUUGAUACUGGCUAUCUUGAGUUCGGGAGAGGUGAGUGGAAUGCCGAGUGUAGAGGUGAAAUUCGUAGAUAUUCGCAAGAACACCAGUGGCGAAGGCGGCUCACUGGCCCGGUACUGACGCUGAGGUGCGAAAGCGUGGGGAGCAAACAGG